ensembl:lncRNA
CAGAAUGUAGGUGAAGAGGUGAGACUCAGCUUAAAUUUUAAUUGUAUAAAUGGGUCGAGAGUUUUAAAUACUGAGCGAGAGCGGUGGGAUUAGGUGGGGAUUAGGGAGUCGAGGUCGUGGGAACAUCAGGCCAACAGCAGCAAACCUCAUGCCUGUGGACUUUGUUCCCUUCACUCUGGUCCUUGCUGUAAUCCAGGUGUCACAACUCUAUCCCUCAUCCCUGCCAAGUGUCCCACUUAGAGACACCCUGUUCUGAGUUGCUGCUCUCAUGGAACUCUCCUCUCACUGGACUCUCAUCUCAGCUCUUUCCUCCCUGAAACCUGUUCCUGAUGUGACUUUUUGAGUUGAUUCUCACGCAAAAACUCCCUUCACCUUCGGUACUUGUGUAGGAGACUACUUAAAGUUUUGAAGACAGAUGGAAGGCUAAUACUGUGGCAAUUUAAAUGACUUCAAUAUUAACUUUCGCUUUUUGUAAAUGUCCUGCAGCCUUUUCUAACCACCCAGCUUUCCACCUUGUUGCUCAGCUCCCCACACCUGGCUGCCUCUAGCAAUUUCUAAACAUUUCUUCUUUAGUAUAUAGAACAGUUCCACUCUGUCAGAAGUAACUUUCCUGCAUAUUGGGAUCACUUGCGGACCUCAAAAAUACUAGGGCCCAUGAUGUGUUUUAAAAGUAUCCCAGGUGAGGCUGUUGCAGAGUGAGGUUGAUCAUCGCUGAGUACCUCUCUCCUGUUUCUAAAUCCAACCUUAAGCCUCUCUCACUGUCACUGUAGGUCCUUACUUAAUUAUGUCUCAUUAAUCUCUGUAAUUGGAAUGGGAACAUUGGGGCAAGGCUGAGACUGUCCAAUGGCUGCAAAAACACUGCAUGUGCUUCCACAUAGCUUUCAAGGCAUAGCGAGAAAUGCUUGAAAUUAUGAUAGCUGCCACCAAUGCAGUAGUGUUUUGUGUCAGGCCACACACUAUCGUGUGCUUUAAUCCUCACAAUAACCUCUCCAGUCAUUCAUAUUAGCCCUAUUAUCCCUGAGAUAAUGGCUGAGAGAGAUUAAGAAAUGUGCCUGAAGCUGCACAGUUGUUAAGUGGCAGAAUGAAGUUUUAAACCUUAAAUCUUGAAUUAUUUUAAACUUAGUGUAUUUCAUUCGGCCUUUGUAAGAAAAAAGGAGGGAUGUCAUGAUGUACAAAUACUGUAAUAGUAUUUGGUAAUCACUGACCAAUUAACUGAUUUGGUUUCUUAUGCUGAAAAGUUUCCUUCUGCCUCAUGGAUGUUACUAACAUGGUUAGGUGAAGAACAUUAUCUUUGAAGAAACAUACAGUCUGAAGGACAAAGAUGCUGGUUUCUAGAGUCAAAAUCAAGUUUGUAUUUAAUACAAUUCAGUACCCCAGCUCAGUGAAAUGGAGGUGUUCGAAAGUUUUAGCUUAGUCUUUAGGCAUUUACCUCCAUGUCGCCAAAUAGCAUAUUCAUAUUACUUUAUUGAUUUUUUAGUUUUAGACAUUAUCCACUGUUCUUCUAUGGAAAAAGGAUUUCACUGCUUCUUGUCCCUGCCCCUACCAUUCAUGUGCACCCUUCUCAUCUCCCCAACUUUUCAACUUAGUUGAAUCAUAACUUGGGUUGGCUGUGUAGUAUACUAUGAUUGCUUUUUCUUUUCUGCCCAACUUUUUAUUUUCC